GCUCAUCUUACGCGCACCUUGGAUAUUCCGCUAGGAUUCUGGAGCGGUUCAUUCGAAUGCGGUGUGUGUAAAUUCCGCCAUAAUCAAGAGUUGCAUGGAUCAACUGGGCGGACAGGCGGAUCAAGAAUAAUGGAGUCAAAUUGCUGCGCU